GAUUAACAUUUUUUACUUUAUUAUUAUUGUGGGGCACAUUUAUACAAGCCCGUGCACUUGGAGGUCAGAAGAUAACUUUGUGGAGUCUGGAUGGACUUUAGGUAUCCUUGCUUGCUUGACAAGUGCCGUUAUCAUCUGAGCCAUUUCAUUGACUCCCCCUCCCCCCAACCCUUUUUUGAGGGGAAUGUCAAAAGUACUUUAUAGAUAAGUACAUAUAUUUACUGUCAAAGACCUCUCUCUUAUUGGGACCUUGAACUCCUUGGACUCUUCUGUAUUCCUAGGGUAUUUAAAAGGCAACUUAUAUUUGAAUCACUCACAUUUUGCCAUGUAACCUGUCACAUUUCACAUAAAAGCUAGACCCCCUCCCCCGAUUUUUUUAAAGAUUUAUUUAUUAUAUAUAGGUACACUGUAGCUGUUCAGACACAACAGAAGAGGGCAUCAGAUCUCAUUACAGAUGGUUGUAAGCCACCAUGUGGUUGCUGGGAUUUGAACUCAGGACCUUUGGAAGAGCAGUCAGUGCUCUUAACCACUGAGCCAUCUCUCCAGCCCACCCCCCUGAUUUUUUUGGAGACAGAUUCUCUAUAUAGUUCUGACUCUCAUUGAAAUCACUAUGUAGACCAGGCUGGCGUCGAAUUCACAGAGAUCCACUUGCCUCUACCACUGAGUGUUGGGAUUUAAAGGAGUGUGGCUCCGCACCUGGUUUAAAGCCAACUUUUCUUCCCUUUAUUUUUUUUUCCCUUCUUUUUUUCGGAGCUGGGGCCCGAACCCUGGGCCUUGUGAUUGCUAGGCAAGCGCUCUACCACUGAACUAAAUCCCCAACCCAAAGCCAACUUUUCUUUUCUUUUUUUUUUUUUUUUUUUUUUGGUUCUUUUUUUCGGAGCUGGGGACCGAACCCAGGGCCUUGCGCUUCCUAGGCAAGCGCUCUACCACUGAGCUAAAUCCCCAGCCCCACUUUUCUUAAAUGCUUUUUAUGGGUGAAACAAUGCGACCUAUACUUGUAUAUGUGUACGCAUACACAUACUCACACACACAAUCUUGCAGGGGAGGAAAAUGAAGCUUACAGAAUUCGAUUACUUUGACCCAAUGUAAAAGUGGUAUUGUACGUUUAGGAGUUGAGCUGGAAUUCCAGUUUCCACGCCUCCCCCGACCCUCUAGACUUCCUCUUCCGGUUCUUGCUUUUCCAGUUUUCACUGGAGCACCAGGGCACAAGGAAACAGCUCUUUCCCGGCCUCACUUUUUUCCCCUCCUCCCCUCUCUACCCUUUGGGUCUCGGCACCACCUAACCCAGGGUUAAGCCCCAUCGGGUGCUCAGAACUACAUUUCCCAGAGGGCUUCGCGAGUCAGCGUCCUCCAAUCAGAGCUCUCCAGACGGCGCCAUUUCUGUGGCGGAAGUGGUGGUGCGGCCUGUGAUCAUGGCGCUGUUCCCGGCCUUCGCGGGCGUAAGUGAGGCCUCCGGUGAUGGAGCAUCCAGGAAAGAGUUAGACUGGCUGAGCAACCCAAGCUUUCGUGUUGGAAAUCUCACGUCUCUGAGCCGACAAACUGAAGAGGUCCCGGCCCUUGCUUCUGAAGCGUCACCACUGACAAGGAGUCCGUUGAAGUCAGAGCUCUCAGAUGAGAGUGACACUAAUGAGAAGCUCACACAGAUAAGCAAGAAAAAGAAGAAAGAGAAAAAGAAGAAAAGGAAACACCAGCACCACAAGAAAACCAAGAGGAGACACGAGCAGUCGAGCAGCAGUGGGUCCGGGUCAGACACAGAGGCUGGGAAGGACAGGGCUUCCCGAAGUAUCAGGGAUAGCCAAGAGUCUGAGAAAGCCCGUCAAGGAAGUAAUGCUGUUCCUGCUGCUCCUGCUACUGGACAUAGCUCCAUUUGGCUGGAAGAUAUUUACACUCUGACAGACGUCUUCAGGACAGAUAAGAAACCAGAUCCUGCCAACUGGGAGUAUAAAUCUCUGUAUCGUGGGGAUAUAGCAAGGUACAAGAGGAAGGGAGACUCCUGCCUGGGUAUCAACCCUAAGAAGCAGUGUAUAUCUUGGGAAGGGGCUUCUGCAGCAAAGAAGCACUCACACAGACACCUGGAGCGCUAUUUUACCAAGAAGAAUGUGGCAUUGUUACGAACUGAGGGGAUUGCCGUGUGCAGUAACCCUGAGCCCUCCUCCUCUGAGCCAGCCCCAUUCAUCCCAGUGAAGGACUCUGCCGAUGUGGCUACUCCUGUUACAACAUGGCUGAAUCCUCUGGGCAUUUAUGAUCAGUCUACCACACAGUGGUUACAAGGGCAGGGUCCAGCAGAGCCAGAGUUAAAGCAGCCAGACUCACAGCAGGAGAGGGACAGUGCUGCUCUUAAGGCCAGAGUGGAAGAGUUUAACAGGAGAGUUCGGGAAAACCCUCGGGACACGCAGCUAUGGAUGGCAUUCGUGGCUUUCCAGGAUGAAGUCAUGAGGAGUCCUGGCAUCUAUGCUCUUGGGGAAGGAGAGCAGGAGAAGCACAGGAAGUCCCUGAAGCUCCUCCUGGAGAAGAAGCUGGCUGUACUGGAGCGGGCCAUCGAGAGCAACCCAAGCAGCGUGGAGCUGAAGCUCGCCAAGUUGCAGCUGUGCUCAGAAUUCUGGGAGCCUAGUGCGCUGACCAAGGAGUGGCAGAAGCUCCUCUUCCUGCACCCCAACAACACAAGCCUGUGGCAGCGCUAUCUCUCCUUUUGCCAGAGUCAGUUUGGCACCUUUUCUGUGUCCAAACUCCACAGUCUAUAUGGCAAGUGCUUGAGUACCUUGUCUGCUGUUAAAGACGGCAGCAUGUUAUCCCACCCUGUGUUGCCGGGCACUGAGGAGGCCAUGUUUGGGCUCUUUCUUCAGCAGUGCCACUUUCUACGGCAGGCUGGCCACUCGGAGAAGGUCGUCUCUCUGUUCCAGGCCAUGGUUGACUUCACCUUCUUCAAGCCUGACAGUGUGAAAGAGCUGCCCACAAAAGUGCAGGUGGAAUUCUUUGAACCCUUCUGGGACAGCGGAGAGCCCCGUGUUGGGGAGAAGGGAGCCCGAGGCUGGCGGGCGUGGAUGCACCAGCAGGAGCGUGGUGGCUGGGUGCUUGUCAACCCAGAUGAGGAUGACGAGGAGCCGGAAGAAGAGGACCAAGAGAUAAAAGACAAGACCCUGCCCAGGUGGCAGAUCUGGCUUGCUAUGGAACGUUCUCGAGACCAGAGGCACUGGCGUCCCUGGCGCCCUGAUAAGACCAAGAAGCAAACGGAGGAAGACUGUGAGGACCCCGAGAGACAGGUGCUGUUUGAUGACGUUGGGCAAUCUUUGAUCAGACUUUCCAGCCCAGAUCUUCAGUUCCAGCUCAUUGAGGCCUUUCUGCAGUUCCUGGGUGUACCUUCUGGCUUCCUUCCCCCAGCCUCCUGCCUUUAUCUGGCCAUGGACGAGAGUAGCAUCUUUGAGAGUAAACUUUAUGAUGAAAAGCCCUUGACUUACUUCAACCCUUUAUUUUCUGGCAUUAGCUGUGUGGGCUACAUGGAACAGUUGGAUUGUCCUCGCUGGACCAAAGGUCACAACCGAGAGGGCGAGGAGUUUGUCCGCAAUGUCUUCCACCUGGUGCUGCCUCUGUUCUCAGGCAAGCAGAAGUGCCAGCUCUGCCUCUCUUGGUUACGGUACGAGAUUGCCAAGGUCAUUUGGUGUCUACACACUAAAAAGAAGAGAUUGAAGUCUCAGGGAAAGAACUGCAAAAAGCUAGCCAAGAGUCUCCUCAAGGAGCCAGAAAACCGCAACAACCUCUGCCUCUGGAGGCAGUAUGCACACCUGGAGUGGUUGCUCGGCAACACAGAGGAUGCCAGAAAGGUGUUGGAUGCAGCCCUCAGCAUGGCAGGCAGCAGCGACCUGAAGGACCGGGAGCUCUGUGAGCUCAGUCUGCUCUAUGCUGAGCUGGAGGUAGAGCUGUCUCCUGACUCGAGAGGAGCCACCACAGGCCGUGCCGUCCACGUACUAACUCGGCUGACGGAGAGCAGCCCCUGUGGGCCCUACACUGGGCAGGUCUCGUCCACUCAGGUUCUGAAAGCCCGGAAGGCUUAUGAGCAUGCGCUGCAGGACUGUCUGGGACAGAGCUGUGCCUCCAGCCCACCUACUGCAGAGUCGUUGGACUGCCUGGGUAGCCUGGUCAAAUGCUUCAUGCUCUUCCAGUAUUUGACUGUAGGAAUUGACGCUGCUGUGCAGGUGUACAGACAGGUGUUUUCCAAGCUGGAGGGCUCUGCUCUCCUGGAAGGCCCGGGGCCAGAGGACAGUGCCAGCUCCCAGAGUGUGACCAGUGUUCUCGAGGCCGUCACCCUGAUGCACACAAGCCUGCUGCGAUUCCACAUGAACAUUUGUGUGUACCCUCUGGCUCCACUCCGAGAGACCCUCUCAGACGCUUUAAAGCUGUAUCCAGGCAACCAGGGUCUUUGGAGGGCUUACGUGCAGAUUCAGAAUAAGUCCCACAGUGCUAACAAGACCAGAAGAUUCUUUGACACAGUCACUAGGUCUGCCAAGCAUUUGGAGCCUUGGCUGUUUGCAAUCGAAGCUGAGAAGCUGAGGAAAAGGCUGGUGGAAUCUGUUCAGAGGUAAUUAGUGACAGUCUCCUGCAUGGGCUUCACAGACCUUUAUGGGAUGGUUGCCAUGUUCGCAGGCCCGGCCACCCUGGUACGACUGCUCUAGUUGUGUCCAGUACAGACUGAAGAGUGAGUAAGACCCUGAGGAAGUGCCUCCAUCCUCCUUCCUGCGCCAGGCUUCCACCUGACUGGUUUCUGGUGUCUGAGGAGCUGUAAUGAGAGCAUUGUGCUGUCAAGUGUAGACUGUAGAGGCUCUGGUGCCAGUACCUGCUCUGCCACUUGUCACCUCAACCUUGGGGUAGGUGGCAGGGAGGUCCAUGCUACAAUCCCCGAGACUGGUCUUACGCAUCGGAUCAGAGCUUUGUUUGAAAAUGCAAUCCGGAGCGACCAGGGUGGCCAGUGCCCGCUGCUGUGGAGGAUGUAUUUGAAAUUUUUGGU